UACGGGGGGGGCAAGCGUUGUUCGGAAUUACUGGGCGUAAAGCGUGCGCAGACGGUUGCGUAAGUCAGAUGUGAAAGCCCCGGGCUCAACCUGGGAAUUGCAUUUGAGACUGCGUAGCUAGGGUGCGGAAGAGGGAAGCGGAAUUUCCGGUGUAGCGGUGAAAUGCGUAGAUAUCGGAAGGAACACCAGUGGCGAAAGCGGCUUCCUGGUCCAGCACCGACGUUCAGGCACGAAAGCGUGGGAGCAAACAGG
rnacentral:rRNA from 1 species